rnacentral:rRNA from 1 species
GCUCAGUAACACGUGGACAACCUGCCCUGAGGUGGGGGAUAACUCCGGAAAACUGGAGAUAAUACCCCAUAGUCUAUGAAUGCUGGAAUGCUUUGUAGGCGAAAGGUCAGCCGCCUCAGGAUGGGUCUGCGGCCGAUUAGGUAGUUGUUGGGGUAACGGCCCAACAAGCCUGUGAUCGGUACGGGUUGUGGGAGCAAGAGCCCGGAGAUGGAUUCUGAGACACGAAUCCAGGCCCUACGGGGCGCAGCAGGCGCGAAAACUUUACAAUGCAGGAAACUGUGAUAAGGGAACCCCGAGUGCCUGUAUGGACAGGCUGUUCAGGUGCGUAAAAAACACCUGGAGAAAGGACCGGGCAAGACCGGUGCCAGCCGCCGCGGUAAUACCGGCGGUUCGAGUGGUGGCCACUAUUACUGGGCUUAAAGCGUCCGUAGCUGGGCAGUUAAGUCUCUGGGGAAAUCUUCCGGCUCAACCGGAAGGCGUCUCAGGGAUACUGGCUGCCUUGGGAUCGGGAGAGGUGAGAGGUACUCUGGGGGUAGGAGUGAAAUCCGGUUAUCCUUAGGGGACCACCUGUGGCGAAGGCGUCUCACCAGAACGACUCCGACAGUGAGGGACGAAAGCUGGGGGAGCAAACCGGAUUAGAUACCCGGGUAGUCCCAGCCGUAAACUAUGCGCGUUAGGUGUGUCAGUGACCACGAGUUACUGAGGUGCCGAAGGGAAACCGUGAAACGCGCCGCCYKGGAA